rnacentral:tRNA from 1 species
CACUUUUAAAGGAUAGAAGACAUCCACUGGCUUUAGGCGCC